rnacentral:rRNA from 1 species
AUGGCUCAGUGAGGCCUUGGGACUGGCUCAGAGAGGUCGGCAACGACCACUCAGAGCCGGAAACUUGGUCAAACUUGGUCAUUUAGAGGAAGUAAAAGUCGUAACAAGGUUUCGUCUCCAAGUCAGGAAGACGAUCAUUUUAAUGAUCCUUCUACAGUAAAACUUACGGAAGCCUUUGCGUCCCGAAAGGGUCGGUCUCGCACGACUAUAAAUAACGACGAGCCAUAAUCGCAAGUCUAGCCUUCUGGGGCCGGGCAACACUGUCAAAUUGCGGGAACCCCCUAAAGUCUCUUGCACUAAGCCGUGGCCGAAAGGCCACGGUGGCCAGGGUAAUGCCCUCGGGUAUAGUCACAGUCAAGAGAAUAGAUCACCUGUUCUAGGUGUGAAAAUGGGCAAUCUGCAGCCAAGUCCUAAGACCGCCGACACGGUGGUUAUGGAUGCAGUUCACAGGCCAAAUGGUAGUGGGUGAGGCGAUGCCUUGCUUAAGAUAUGGUCGGGCCCCUUGGGAAACCUUGGGGACAAUUUACUGAAUUGAUAAACAUGUUGAGAGGGUUUUUUUGGUGCGCCAAAAAACGUGUUGGUUCCUACCUACUCUUUCCAUGUCUAUUACAAAGAACCGUUCCGUAGGUGAACCUGCGGAAGGAUCAUUACCGAGUUAGGGUCCCUUGGGCCUGAACCUCCCAACCCUUUGUCUACUUAAUCUCUGUUGCUUCGGCGGGCCCGUCCUUUACCGGACCGCCGGAGGACCGUCGCCCUGCGGCGUCCUCUGGCCCGUGCCCGUCGAUGGCCAGCCUUUAAAACUCUAUGCUCAAAUCAUGUAAUUUGUCUGAAUCUAGAAAAGAAAUUAAAAGCAAAACUUUCAACAACGGAUCUCUUGGUUCUGGCAUCGAUGAAGAACGCAGCGAAAUGCGAUAAGUAAUGCGAAUUGCAGAAUUCCAGUGAGUCAUCGAAUCUUUGAACGCACAUUGCGCCCUUUGGCAUUCCGAAGGGCAUGCCUGUUCGAGCGUCAUUAUCACCCCUCAGCCCUGUGCUUGGUGUGGACGGCCUGGUCGAGGUGCGCCUCGACCCCUCCCAAAGACAAUGACGGCGGCCUGCGGUUCCCCCGGCACACUGAGCUUUUCACCGAGCACGUGUCGGAUUAUUUGGGUGCGCGGGUCACGGGUCCUCUUCCUAGUGGCUAGGAAGCUUUACACAAGGUUGACCUCGGAUCAGGUAGGAAUACGCGCUGAACUUAAGCAUAUCAAUAAGCGCAGGAAAAGAAACCAACAGGGAUUGCCUCAGUAACGGCGAGUGAAGCGGCAACAGCUCAAAUUUGAAAUCUGGCCCUCUGGGGUCCGAGUUGUAAUUUGUAGAGGAUGUUUUGGGUACCGCCCCGGUUUAAAUUUCUUGGAACAGAAUGUCAAAGAGGGUGAGAAUCCCGUCUUGGACCGGCGGUAGGGCCUGUGUAAAACUCCUUCGACGAGUCGAGUUGUUUGGGAAUGCAGCUCAAAAUGGGUGGUAAAUUUCAUCUAAAGCUAAAUAUUGGCCAGAGACCGAUAGCGCACAAGUAGAGUGAUCGAAAGAUGAAAAGCACUUUGAAAAGAGAGUUAAACAGUAUGUGAAAUUGUUGAAAGGGAAGCGCUUGCAACCAGACUUGCGCGUGACGGUUCCCCUUACCUUUUGGUCAGGGUACUCCGUUGCGUUCAGGCCAACAUCGGUUUUGGGGGCCAGUUAAAGGCCCUGGGAAUGUACCUACCUACGGGUAGACUUAUAGACCAGGGUGCCAUGUGGCCUCCCGGAACUGAGGAACGCGCUUCGGCUCGGAUGUUGGCGUAAUGGUUGUCAGCGACCCGUCUUGAAACACGGACCAAGGAGUCUAACAUCUAUGCGAGUGUUUGGGUGUCAAACCCGGAACGCGAAAUGAAAGUGAACGGAGGUAGGAAGCUUCGGCUGCACUAUCGACCGAUCCUGAAGUUUACGGAUGGAUUUGAGUAAGAGCAUAGCUGUUGGGACCCGAAAGAUGGUGAACUAUGCCUGAAUAGGGUGAAGCCAGAGGAAACUCUGGUGGAGGCUCGCAGCGGUUCUGACGUGCAAAUCGAUCGUCAAAUUUGGGUAUAGGGGCGAAAGACUAAUCGAACCAU